rnacentral:tRNA from 1 species
CGGGAGUUAAAAUCUCUUUUCUUUGAGCAAUAGGGAGGAUUUUAACCUCCGCAACCGGUUUACAAGACCG